rnacentral:rRNA from 1 species
CCUACGGGUGGCAGCAGUGAGGAAUAUUGGUCAAUGGCCGUAAGGCUGAACCAGCCAAGUCGCGUGAAGGAAGAAGGAUCUCUGGUUUGUACACUUCUUUUAUAGGGGAAUAAAGGUAUCCUCGUGUGGAUAUUUGCAUUUACCCUAUGAAUAAGCAUCGGCUAACUCCGUGCCAGCCGCCGCGGUAAUACGGGGGAUGCGAGCGUUAUCCGGAUUUAUUGGGUGUAAAGAGUUGCGUAGGUGGCAUAAUAAGUUGCUAGUGAAAUCUGGUGGCUCAACCAUUCAGAUGAUUAGCUAAACUGUUAAGCUCGAGACCGGUAGGGGCAUCUGGAAUUUCUAGUGUAGGAGUGAAAUCCGUAGAUAUUAGAAGGAACACCAAUAGCGGAGGCAGGAUGCUGGGACGGUUCUGACACUAAGGCACGAAAGCGUAGGGAGCAAACGGGAUUAGAUACCCUUGUAGUC